AGAAAUGAUAAAUACAAUGGAGGUCUUUUAAUUACCAUAAAAAAAAAGAUACAAGAAUAACACAUAUUUAUUAUAUUCACACACACGUAUAGAAGCUAUUAGGUGGAAAUCUUCCCCUGCUGAGGCGCCCACGGUGGCCUGUAAUGAGAAGUAUCAAUAUUCAAGCUUCAGGGUUUCACAAUAUUCAAUUUUCAAGUGAUGUAGAGCAGGCAUAGCUGCUUCUUCUACCUUCCACUCUUCCAAAUUCACAAGCUCUUUAAGGGUUAGAGAGUCCUUAAGUUAGGCAGCUUCUCUAGUAUUGGCACGGGAUCUCUUCCCCAAGCUUGAACCUUCUCAAACAUAUGUAAGCUGUACUUGAAGGGAAACGGUGAUACUCUGGUAACAAUUCCUCAUCUUCCCAUCUAAAAUCAACUCACACAAAUAAACGCAGCUUGAAAGGAGGCGCACUAAUAGUUUCGGAUCUAUUCCUCCUCCAUCAAUAGACAAGGACUGAAGAUAUUUGCUUGUGAUGAUCGACAGAUUCUUGUCUAAACCCUCCUUACAAUCUUCAAUAUGUAAGGACCCAAAUAUCUCCAACUUUCUAAGUUUUGUGAACUUGGAACGAUCUGCAAGAAAGCAGUUGUAUGUGUUGAACUUUCUAAGUUUUCAAUGUGUGCAGCUUCAACUUGGUCUUAUCGCUCAUCUUCUCUGGGAGAUAUAGCUGUUCCAAUUUCCAUAUCACAUCAGGUACACAACAAAAACCAGAAUAAGCUGGAUAUUUUAAAUCCAAGGUUUGCAGACACCUUAAAUUGCCUAGAGAUGAUGGAAUUUUUGGAAUAAUGAAAUCAAAAGCUCUUAGAUUCAAGAAUCUCUAGUGGAUGAGAUUACCUAUAGCAUUGGGCAACUUACAUCCUGCAACAUUUUCACAAGCUUCACAUUCCAGGACUCUAAGCAAUUUAAAAUUGUUGAACAAGUAUGUCCAACAUCCCUGCCUUUUCCAAAGUAGAAAAACACCCAAGACCACCAUAAGUAAACUGCAAUCGUCAUUAUCCUGAUGUUCUUCAUGUAUUUUAUCAUCUUUGAGUUUAGAAAUGCUUUAACUACUGCAUCUUUAGUGAAGGGGUUAUCAAAUAACAAUAUUGAUCUCAGACGGGAACUUUUAAUGCUUUGAAAAAGAAUGGAUUGAUGUGCAACAAUUCUGCGAACUGCGCGACCAAUGGAUGGAGAUCAUCUAUGAUGCAGACAAAAUUUUCUUUCUUUGCUACUGACAAACAAAGACCUCUCAUGAGAUCAUGCAUGCGGUAAGUUUUGAUCUUUAAGGUUGGCCCUCUUUCUCCAACUUGAACCAUGCACCUUUCCACAAGCUCAACUAAGCAACCUUCUGCAACCUUCUGCAACAUCCUCCAUCAUUUCCCCUCCAUUUCCUUCACCCCUCUGCUGAUGAAACAAGGCCUUCUGCAACCCACAAUUGAAUCAAUCUUUCUACAGGUAUUUCAUAAUCUUCAGGAAAAAUACUUAAAUAAAGGAAACAUGAUCUCAAAUAGGGGUGGCAAAUCAUCAUAACUUAAGGCUAACACAUCCUCGAUGCAUAGGCCUUUGCCUCUCUUCAAGUAUGUUUUAACAUUUUCGAACACCAUUUGCCAUUCUAAAAUGCCUCCCAACUGCGCAACGAUGAACCGUUACCUUCCCUAACUCUUCCAUUUUUGCAUCAACUUUGUUUUCUUUAAAAUAAGCAGUACUGUAAGAACACCAAAUUACUAUUCAUCACUAGCCACAAUGUACAUCUUUUCCAUUGCUUUGAAUGGAUAAAUAAAAAGAUCAUUGUAUGUAAUUUCUUACAAAGUAAGGUGUGCUCAACUAUUAUCCUAAUUAGACUCAACAAGUUAAUCAUUACGUCUAUUCU
rnacentral:lncRNA from 1 species